rnacentral:rRNA from 1 species
GUGCCAGCCGCCGCGGUAAUACGGAGGGAGCUAGCGUUGUUCGGAAUUACUGGGCGUAAAGCGCACGUAGGCGGCUACUCAAGUCAGGGGUGAAAUCCCGGAGCUUAACUCCGGAACUGCCUCUGAAACUAGGUAGCUAGAAUCUUGGAGAGGUCAGUGGAAUUCCGAGUGUAGAGGUGAAAUUCGUAGAUAUUCGGAAGAACACCAGUGGCGAAGGCGACUGACUGGACAAGUAUUGACGCUGAGGUGCGAAAGCGUGGGGAGCAAACAGGAUUAGAUACCCUAGUAGUCC